UGAACGCCGGCGGCGUGCCUAAUACAUGCAAGUCGAACGAGGUGCUUUUGUAGCAAUACGGAAGUAUCCUAGUGGCGAACGGGUGAGUAACGCGUUGGUGACCUGCCCCAAAGUGUGGGAUAACAGUCCGAAAGGAUUGCUAAUACCGCAUGUGGUCAUUGGGUUUAGAAACUAAUGACUAAAGCAGUAAUGCGCUUUGGGAGGGACCUGCGUCCCAUCAGCUAGUUGGUGAGGUAACGGCUCACCAAGGCGACGACGGGUAGGGGACCUGAGAGGGUGGCCCCCCACAAUGGAACUGAAACACGGUCCAUACACCUACGGGUGGCAGCAGUAGGGAAUAUUGCUCAAUGGGCGAAAGCCUGAAGCAGCAACGCCGCGUGCGCGAUGAAGGUCUUCGGAUCGUAAAGCGCUUUUCUGCGAGAUGAGAAAGGACAGUAUCGUAGGAAUAAGUCUCGGCUAACUACGUGCCAGCAGCCGCGGUAACACGUAGGAGGCGAGCGUUAUCCGGAUUCACUGGGCGUAAAGCGCGUGCAGGCGGUUUGGUAAGUUGGGCGUGAAAGCUCCCGGCUCAACUGGGAGAGGUCGUUCAAUACUACCGAACUAGAGAGUAGAAGAGGAAGAUGGAAUUCCCGGUGUAGUGGUGAAAUGCGUAGAUAUCGGGAGGAACACCAGUGGCGAAGGCGAUCUUCUGGUCUAUUUCUGACGCUCAGACGCGACAGCUAGGGUAGUAAACGGGAUUAGAGACCCCGGUAAUCCUAGCCGUAAACGAUGUGAACUUGGCGUCGGUGGCUUAAACACCAUCGGUGCCGAAGCAAACGCGAUAAGUUCACCGCCUGGGGACUACGGCCGCAAGGUUAAAACUUAAAG
rnacentral:rRNA from 1 species